AGCGAACGCUGGCGGCAGGCUUAACACAUGCAAGUCGAACGGGCAUCUUCGGAUGUCAGUGGCAGACGGGUGAGUAACACGUGGGAACGUACCUUUCGGUUCGGAAUAAUCCAGGGAAACUUGAGCUAAUACCGGAUACGCCCUUUUGGGGACAGGUUUACUGCCGAAGGAUUGGUCAGCGUCUGAUUAGCUUGUUGGUGGGGUAACGGCCUACCAAGGUGAUGAUCUGUAGCCGGGCUGAGAGGAUGAUCAGUCACACUGAGACUAAGACACGGCCCCGACUCCUGCGAGAGGCGGCAGAGGUGGAUAUAGGACAGUGGGCGCAAGCCAGAACCAGCCAGGCCGGGUGAGUGAUGAAGGCCUUGGGGUUGGAAAGCACUUUUGUCCGGGACGGUAAUGACGGUACCGGAAGAAUAAGCCCCGGCUAACUUCGUG
rnacentral:rRNA from 1 species